rnacentral:rRNA from 1 species
UACAGAGGGGGCGAGCGUUGUUCGGAAUUACUGGGCGUAAAGGGCGCGUAGGCGGCCUUCUAAGUCGAACGUGAAAUCCCCGGGCUCAACCCGGGAACUGCGUCCGAUACUGGGAGGCUUGAAUCCGGGAGAGGGAUGUGGAAUUCCAGGUGUAGCGGUGAAAUGCGUAGAUAUCUGGAGGAACACCGGUGGCGAAGGCGGCAUCCUGGACCAACACUGACGCUGAGGAGCGAAAGCCAGGGGAGCAAACGGG